ACGAACGACUUUCUAUUAAAACCCCGGAGGCUUUGUCCCACAUCGAAGAAUUGUGUAUUUGACGAGUUCUUUAUAUCCUUUCGCUAAAGAUUUGUUAUUGUCCCUUCGGGGACAUCCGAUAAAAUUGGAACGAUACAGAGAAGAUUAGCAUGGCCCCUGCGCAAGGAUGACACGCAUAAAUCGAGAAAUGGUCCAAAUUUUUUUUUUUGCCCCUUUCCGCCAAAUUUCGAAUGUUUUUUUUUUUUUGCGCUCUCCAUGGUGUUUACCACAAUCUCUAGGGCCAAAGGCGUUGUUCAAUGCAGUUGCAGAGGCUUGAGAAGCUAUGAGCAUUUUGCAUUUGAAGUCUUCGAUGGUUCGGUGGCUUAGUCUUUGAUCUUCUAGAAUGGGAGUUUGAUUGUGCAGAAGUGGAGAUUUGGGAGCUGGCUUGAUUGGAUUGAUUAACUAGCCUGAACCUGACUCACUGUUGUCAAGCUAACACAUUCGGAUAUUCCCUAGGAAGACAGAUAUGGGAAUGUGAAUGUGGUGGAGAAUACAGAAAGAGGUUGGCGGGAUCUUAUUUUCCAGAGGAUGCGGGCAGUUUUUGGUUUUGGAAUUUGAGAUACUUGGGUACCAGGAUGAAGGCUUUAGGUUGUUUUGUAGAACAGUGCUGGUUAUUUAUGUAAAAGAGUGUCAUGAAUGUAGGUGAAGAUUCAAUUAAUGAAAUUACGAGUUGAGCUUGACGAAAUGCGGGGAGCUAUUAGUAUAGUAUGAGAUUUUGAGAGGUACAAAAGUGCUGGUUUAAAUGUGAUGGUCAUGAUUUUUUGUCUCGACCACAAUGGUGUUCUGUUCCUUGUCCUUUGAACUCGUCUCAGGCCUUUGUGGAUAAGGAUUUGCAAUUCUUGUAAUAGCAAUGUUGAGUUUUCGGUUUACAAAUAUAAUCUAUCGAAGUGAUUGUCGGAGUUGCUUCAGUUUGAGAGCUAGAAGGUAGUGAAAGCAGAUCAUGUCUGACAGCAUGCAUAAGCUUUCUCACCUCCUUAGAAAUGAAUGGCUACAUGUACUGAUAAUAAUAUAAAGAGGC